UAAAUAAUUUUUAAUUAACUUUGAAAUGAAUUUAUGUAGUAAAUUAAUCGGUUCGUUUUUAAGCAUAUAUGAUUUUACGCCUAUAUGAUUUUUGCGAGUUGUCUAUCCGUUUCUAGUCUCUCACCUAACAACCAUUAAAAAAUUGAACAUGUUUUCAAUUAGACAUCUCCACGAGCACCGCCAGCAUCGGUUUGGUGAUAAUUUGGAGACAGACAACGAAGAAAGCAGUUGACUUGGUCAAGAAACUAAGGAAAGAAUGCACUAAAAAAGAUAGGGUGUGUUUUAAGACUAAUUAUAAUUUGAAUUUGAUAAGGUCGUUCAAGGAGACAAUGAGCGAAUGUGAUGACGAGGCAACGAAGAGAGGGAGAAACUGUUCAAUUUGAGCCAAAUUAACUUAGAUACCGAAUGAUGAGAGUUGAGAAUUCAAGUAAUUUUCUGAUCGAAAUGGACAUAGAGAAAACUCAAUUCAGCAUAUCAAAAUCUGGAGGCACUAAAUUAGAAGGCAGAGAGUUGACAUAAAGAAAUUUGAGGCUUAAUGGGGAUGAAGCAAACUGAUUGGAACAUGAGAAAAUGCAAAAAUCAAGGAAAGCAACCAUACGGCUAAAUCCAAAAUAGUUGGGGAAAAAAAAAACCCUCAUUUUCAUUGGUAAAUUUUUUUUUUUUUUGAUUAAGAAUCAUUGACUUUAGGUACUGAAGGCCCCUCCAAUAAUAUGGACAUUAAUAAUCACAUGGAUGAUCAGGUGAAGGAAGCUAUGUUUUUGAGACAAUGACUAUGACUACCUUUCAUUAACCGUUUCAUUUGUCUGAAUUAUUGUUUUCAUGUCUCAAAAACACACCAUGUGGUGGCUGCCUCAGCUGUGUUUUUACAUUUGCAUGUUGAGACGUCCACUCAAAUCUAGAUGGCCCUAUGGCUCAGGCGUUUUUGAAAUGACUUAUCUUCCAAUCAGAUGCAACGUUUGGGGGAGCAAAGGGCACAUGGUGCAUGGCCUUUAGCUUUGCUGGGAAACUUACCUUCACCAGUGACAUUCACUUGCAGAUUUUUACCCACAAAGUUUUAUGUGUGGCUCCCAUUUUAUGAAUGAUUCAUUCCCAUCAUCUAAUGCUCUUGCCUUGCUUUUCCUUCAAGACUUUGAACAUGUCUUAUUUACUAGCCACAGGGGAACACACCACAUGGCUCAAUUGCGCUCAUCAGGUGUUUGUUUUUAAUCCUCUUUGAACUGCACAGACUUGCCUACAUUCAUUGUAAUGAACAAAACGUUUUUAUUCUAA